GACGAACGCUGGCGGCGUGCCUAAUACAUGCAAGUAGAACGCUGAAGGAGGAGCUUGCUCUUCUGGAUGAGUUGCGAACGGGUGAGUAACGCGUAGGUAACCUGCCUGGUAGCGGGGGAUAACUAUUGGAAACGAUAGCUAAUACCGCAUAAGAGUAGAUGUUGCAUGACAUUUGCUUAAAAGGUGCAAUUGCAUCACUACCAGAUGGACCUGCGUUGUAUUAGCUAGUUGGUGGGGUAACGGCUCACCAAGGCGACGAUACAUAGCCAACCUGAGAGGGGGAUCGGCCACACUGGGACUGAGACCCGGCCCAGACUCCUAAGGGGGGCAGCAGCAGGGAAUCUUCGGCAAUGGACGGAAGUCUGACCGAGCAACGCCACCUGAGUGAAGAAGGUUUUCGGAACGUAAAGCUCUGUUGUAAGAGAAGAACGAGUGUGAGAGUGGAGAGUUCACACUGUGACGGUAUCUUACCAGAAAGGGACGGCUAACUACGUG
rnacentral:rRNA from 1 species